rnacentral:rRNA from 1 species
UACGGAGGGUGCAAGCGUUAUCCGGAUUUACUGGGUUUAAAGGGUGUGUAGGCGGACUUUUAAGUCAGGGGUGAAAUCCCGAGGCUCAACCUCGGAACUGCCUUUGAUACUAUUGGUCUUGAAUGUUGUUGAGGUGGGCGGAACGGGUCAUGUAGCGGUGAAAUGCAUAGAUAUGACCCGGAACACCGAUUGCGAAGGCAGCCCGCUAAGCAACUAUCGACGCUGAGGCACGAAAGCGUGGGGAUCAAACAGG